UGAGAUCAACUCAUCUAAUGGAUCACACACACUCCCUGAUAAUUUAGAAUUAUGGGUCAAAGCUACUAACGGAAAAAACAAAGGUCGUGUGCUUGGAACCAGAGCAAGUGAUCCAAUGCCAUUACCAAUUCCUGAUAAUAUGGCGACUUCACAGAACACAACGACGAAUUAUAUAGAAAUUCAACAACAAAAAAGUAAAGAAGACUUUGAUCGGGCAGUUCAAGAGGCCAUUAGAAAACAGAUGCCGGAUAUACUAAAGGAACUAAGGGAAGACUUACGUCGAGAGACGAUUGAGGUAAUUAGCAUAUAAAUCAAUAUUCAUAUUUUCUUUAUAAUUUCAAUUUUUUUUACAUUAGGGUCAGUCGAGCCAAGGACACGACAACAUAAUCACGCCUACUACAAGAGAUUCAAAUGUCGAAAAUGUUGGCAAAAAAGCGACUCAAAGUCCGACUAAAAGUG
rnacentral:lncRNA from 1 species